rnacentral:rRNA from 1 species
AUUGAACGCUGGCGGCAUGCCUUACACAUGCAAGUCGAACGGCAGCACGGGAGCAAUCCUGGUGGCGAGUGGCGAACGGGUGAGUAAUAUAUCGGAACGUGCCCAGUCGUGGGGGAUAACGCAGCGAAAGCUGUGCUAAUACCGCAUACGACCUAAGGAUGAAAGCGGGGGGUCGCAAGACCUCGCGCGAUUGGAGCGGCCGAUAUCAGACUAGCUAGUUGGUGGGGUAAGGGCCAACCAAGGAGACGAUCGGUAGCUGGUCUGAGAGGACGGCCAGCCACACUGGAACGGAGACACGGUCCAGACUCCUACGGGAGGAAGCAGUGGGGAAUUUUGGACAAUGGGCGCAAGCCUGAUCCAGCAAUGCCGCGUGCAGGAUGAAGGCCUUCGGGUUGUAAACUGCUUUUGUACGGAACGAAACAGCCCUUUCUAAUACAGGGGGCUAAUGACGGUACCGUAAGAAUAAGCACCGGCUAACUACGUGCCAGCAGCCGCCGUAAAAC